GAGGGUAUGGCUCAGUGGUAGAGUGUGUGCUUAGCAUGCAUGAGGUCCUGGGUUCAACACCUAGUACCUCCA
rnacentral:tRNA from 1 species